rnacentral:rRNA from 1 species
ACCCUUAGAUGUCCUGGGCAGCACGCGUGCUACAAUGAUGCAUUCAACGAGUCUUGCCUUAACCGAAAGGUUCGGGUAAACUUUUGAAAUUGCAUCUUGUCGGGGCUUGAUCAUUGUAAUUUUUGAUCACAAACAAGGAAUUCCUUGUAAAUGUGAGUCAUCAACUUGCAUUGAAUACGUCCCUGCCCUUUGUACACACCGCCCGUCGCUUCUACCGAUGAAUGAUCCGGUGAACACUCUGGACUUGUUGUCUGUCGGAGCAAUCCAAAGACGAUAGGGAAGUUGUGUAAACCUUAUCAUUUAGAGGAAGAAGAAGUCGUAACA